UAGCUGCUGUGUGUGUGGCCAUACACCUGCAUUGCUUUAUGGAUCGUCACAGCAGCAUUC
rnacentral:pre_miRNA from 1 species